rnacentral:rRNA from 1 species
AUGCUUAGAAUGAAAAGAGCACCAUUUGCCAGGCUUGUCGAGACCUUCAGGAGCAGGGGGCUGUUACAAGAUAGCAUCAACACCAGUGUCGAAGAGCAAGUGGCCAUAUUCCUCCAUGUUGUUGGCCAUAACCAGAGGUUCAGGGUCAUUCACAACACGUUCAGGAGAUUAAUGGAGACCAUCUCUAGGUACUUCAAGCAAGUGCUUUUUGCUAUUGGGGAGCUUAAAGGAGGGAUGACCAGAAGACCAUCUGGUCAGACUCCACCCAAGAUUCACGGAAGCCCAAUAUGGUAUCCAUACUUCAAGGAUUGCAUUGGGGCAAUAGAUGGUACUCAUGUCACUGCCAGAGUUCCCAGGUCACAGUCUGCAGCAUACAGGGGGAGGAAGCACUACACAAGCCAAAAUGUGCUUGCUGCUGUUGACUUUGAUCUGAAAGUUCACAUAUGUGCUGGCUGGCUGGUAGGGGUCAGCGCAUGA